ensembl:lncRNA
GGUGGCAUUUCUUUGGGGGGCCGCACAGCCCUCCAUGUGCUCGCCAGAGGUAGCCUGACUGCCAUUAGGUAUCGAGAUGAGAUCCUCAGACCCCUCGUGAGACCAUAUGCUGGUGCGGUUGGCCCUGGGUUCCUCCUAAUGCAAGACAAUGCUAGACCUCGUGUGGCUGGAGUGUGUCAGCAGUUCCUGCAAGAGGAAGGCAUUGAUGCUUUGGACUGGCCCGCCCGUUCCCCAGACCUGAAUCCAAUUGAGCACAUCUGGGACAUCAUGUCUCGCUCCAUCCACCAACGCCACGUUGCACCACAGACUGUCCAGGAGUUGGCGGAUGCUUUACUCCAGGUCUGGGAGGAGAUCCCUCAGGAGGCCAUCCGCCACCUCAUCAGGAGCAUGCCCAGGCGUUGUAGGGAGGUCAUACAGGCACGUGGAGGCCACACACACUACUGAGCCUAAUUUUUGACUUGUUUUAAGGACAUUACAUCAAAGUUGGAUCAGCCUGUAGUGUGUUUUUCCACUUUAAUUUUUGAGUGUGACUCCAAAUCCAGACCUCCAUGGGUUGAUACAUUUGAUUUCCAUUGAUCAUUUUUGUGUGAUUUUGUUGUCAGCACAUUCAACUAUGUAAAGAAAAUAAUAUUUAAUAAGAAUAUUUCAUUCAUUCAGAUCUCGGAUGUGUUAUUUUAGUGUUCCCUUUAUUUUUUUGAGCAGUGUAUAUAAUACUACCGGUCAAAAGUUUGGUGUUUUGAAAAAAAUUUAAAAAAAAUAACAUCAAAUUGAUCAGAAAUACAGUGUAGACAAUGUUAAUGUUGUAAAUGGCUAUUGUAGCUGGAAACGGCAGAUUUUUUUAUGGAAUAUCUACAUAGGCGGAGGCCCAUUUUCAGCAACCAUCACUCCUGUGUUCCAAUGGCACGUUGUGUUAGCUAAUCCAAGUUUAUUAUUUUAAAAGGCUAAUUGAUCAUUAGAAAACCCUUUUGCAAUUAUGUUAGUUCAGCUGAAAACUGUUGUUCUGAUUAAAGAAGCAAUGAAACUGGCCUUCUUUAGACUAGUUGAGUAUCUGGAGCAUGUGUGGGUUCGAUUACAGGCUCAAAUUGGUCAGAAACAAAGACUUUCUUUUGAAACUCGUCAGUCUAUUCUUGUUCUGAGAAAUGAAGGCUAUUCCAUGCGAGAAAUUUCCAAGAAACUGAAGAUCUCGUACAACUCUGUGUACUACUCCAUUCAGAGAACAGCGCAAACUGUCUCUAACCAGAAUAGAAAGAGGAGUGGUGCACAACUGAGCAAGAGGACAAGUACAUUGGAGGGUCUAGUUUGAGAAACAGACGCCUCACAAGUCCUCAACUGGCAGCUUCAUUAAAUAGUACCCGCAAAAUACCAGUAUCACAGUAUUACUGUGAAGAGGCUACUCCGGGAUGCUGGCCUUCUAGGCAGAGUUGCAAAGAAAAAGCCAUAUCUCAGUCUGGCCAAUAAAAAUUAAAGAUUAAGAUGGGCAAAAGACCACAGACACUGGACAGAAGAACGCUGCCUAGAAGGCCAGCAUCCUGGAGUCAUCUCUUCACUGUUGAUGUUGAGACUGGUGUUUUUCUUCUGUAUACUAACCCUACCAUUUCAAAACAAAACUGUUUGUCUCAAAUGCAUUAAGAAGAAAAUAAAGAACUUUUAACAAGGCACACCUGUUAAUUGAAAUGCAUUCCAGGUGACUAACUCAUGAAGCUGGUUAAGAUAAGAGUGGGCAAAGCUGUCAUCAAGGCAAAGGGUGGCUACUUUGAAGAAUCUCAAAUAUAAAAUAUAUUUAGACUUGUUUAACACUUUUUUGGUACUACAUGUUUCCGUACCAUGUUAUUUCAUAGUUUUGAUGUCUUCACUAUUACUCUACAAUGUAGAAAAUGAGUUUGUGUCCAAACUUUUGACUGGUUUUGUACUGAACAAAAAUAUAAACUCAACAUACAACAAUUUCAAAGAUUUUAUUGUGAAGCCAGGCGGAUGUACCACCAAAUUAUCUAAAAUUAUGUUGGGCGUGGCUUAUGGUAGAGAAAUGAACAUUCAAUUCUCUGGCAACAGCUCUGGUGGACAUUCCUGCAGACAGCAUGCCAAUUGCACUCUUCCUCAACGUUUGAGACAUUUGUGGCAUUGUGUUUUGUGACAACUCCAUAUUUUAGAGUGGCCGUUUAUUGUCCCUAGCACAAGGUGCACCUGUGUAAUGAUCAUGCUGAUCAAGAAGCUUCUUGAAAUGCCUCACCUGUCAGGUGGAUGGAUUAUCUUGGCCAAGGAGAAAUGCACACUAACAGGGGAUGUAAACAAAUUUGUGCACAACAUUUUAGAGAUACUGCCCGGCAGGCUUCUUCUCCACUCUGUGCAGUGUCCAGUGUCAUCCGUGUUCGGCAAGUCACCGAGAAUGUCCGUUAUGGAAAAAGAAUGAAGUUGUAAGUAGAAGCACAUAGUUGUUCCUGGUCAGGUCAAGAAAAACUUCUGGCCCUGGUAAAAAGUGUAUACUGGUACUAUCCUCUGCCUUUCACUCAAUGAAUUGGUUUCAAUACAGAUAUCAGUUUAUAGAUCCAGUUAAUACCUUCUGGGUUAAUUAAAAAAAAUAUAUAUAUUUAUAAUCCAGAUCUUGUCCCUCCUUUCUAAAUGAAGGGGGAACAAAUUCAGAUGUGGUGGAACAGGAUUCAGACAACAUUGGAUCACUUUGAUCUGGUUUACAUGUUUAGAAAAACCUGCCCAGAUCUUAUAGUGGAAGGAUCUUUCAAUGCCAUCUGGCACAUUUUAAACUAGAUCAACUAAAAGUAAUUUCUCCCCGCUCUAGGGAGCUACUGCCCAUGGAAAAGGACCUCCCAGCCUUUGACCUGUCUUGCCAAACAGUGCAAGAGCUGCAAUGGGACCUCUCUAUGUGGAGGUACUGUGGUACCUCGCUGGAGUAGGACAGGGGCAGAGCUAACUCAGCCGUCAAGACAGCCUGUCCCCCCCUGCCCUCCUGGGACACACAGGGACAGUGAGGAGGGAGCAGCAAGCAUCUUUUGUCCUUUAGGUCAUUACUGUGUUGGAGGUGUUGCUUUGCCGUGCCCAGCAGGAACCUACGGACCCAAAGAGGCUUUCAAGGGGUGAGGGACUGCCCCCCC